rnacentral:lncRNA from 1 species
UUUCGAACAUCUACUCACAUAGGUGGAGGUAAAAGAGUUCAGCCAACUAAGUAAUAUCCCAUUGGCUAACAAGAGAUUUGGCUUUAAUUUCCAGGUUGGGGUGAUAGGUAUGUACACUAAUAAGGAAAAAAAUUUGGUAUGUUUUUAAUGUUGGUUGCUGAACCUGAUAAACAUUCCUAGUUAACUAAAAUUCGAUGUAUGUUGAGAGGAGCCAAUGAGGUCUAACCCAGUAGAAAAUGACAUUCACUUGCGGACAAAUAAUUUUUUAAAUUUUAACGAGAAAAAAUAGAGUUCUUUUCAAACUGAAUACAAUUUAACCAAAUAAUUGCAUCUUCACACUUUUGAACAGGCAAUUUGAAGGCCAGUCAACAAGGAUCCUAAUUAGACCACAAUUUCUUAUAGCUUCUCCAUUUCUUAUCCUUUUUCGCUAGUUUGAAACCUUAACUUUUGACAGUCGGGGUACUCAGGACACCAAGCGAGUUUUGUGGUGGACCUAAUAUUGCAUAGAAGUAGGCAAAAGACUUUGCCCGGCUUGGCAGCCCAACUCAACUCAUUAGGCUGAUCCUAAGCUCAAAUAGAAGCCCAUAGGUGAACAAUGCCCAAGCACUUGUCUCCUCUCAUUUUAAUUUUGAUUUCUUUGGCUUGUUUUCUAAUUUUUUUUUUUUUUUGUAAGUGUUCUUUUCAGUGUAGUUUUUAUUAUUAUUUAACAAAGCGAUAGACUAAAUUACUCUAAAUUAAUCUAAUUUACGGAAAGGGGAAUUCAAACUUAAAUGUAAAGAGGCAGACUCACUGCCCUGACCAAAUAACCUAACUCACGUACACUUUUUUCAAACUUAAUACAAUUUAACCAAAUAAUUGUAUCUUCGAAUUUGUGAACAGGCAAUUGGGAGGCCAGUCAAUAAGCAUGCUAAUUAGACCACAAUUUCUUUCUUUGCUCCCCGACCAUUCAUAUCGUAGGUUUUUUCGCUAGUCGGAUUAUUCAAGUCAUUGUGCUAAAGGACAUCUAACCGAAUAUGGUUGUCUUUCCAAUUAAAGAUGCUUAUCAAUAUAUGAUGUACAAUUAAAAAAAAACUUUCUAGUCCCCAGUACUAUAUAUAGAUGUUGUGGUGUUGGUGUUCACAUCUUUAAACCAUCACCCACAUUGUACCGAUUCAAAAAUGUAUUCAUU